UACGUAGGGUGCGAGCGUUGUCCGGAUUUAUUGGGCGUAAAGAGCUCGUAGGCGGCCUGUUGCGUCCGCUGUGAAAUCCCGGGGCUCAACCCCGGGCCUGCAGUGGAUACGGGCUGGCUAGAGGCAGGCAGGGGAGAACGGAAUUCCUGGUGUAGCGGUGAAAUGCGCAGAUAUCAGGAGGAACACCGGUGGCGAAGGCGGGUCUCUGGGCCGAUAUUGACGCUGAGGAGCGAAAGCGUGGGGAGCGAACAGG
rnacentral:rRNA from 1 species